GGAUGGAUUGGUGGUUUGUGGAUGGAUGGAUGGUGUAUUGAUUGAGUGAUUACAUAUGAUCUCUAUAUAGGACAUGUAUUUAUAUGAGUUGAUAUGAUCCAAAGUGGCUAGCUGGGCUUAGCUUUAGGCUUGUAUGUGGAAUGUGCUUGAUAUUAUGCAUUCUGAAUGCAUGUUUCCCUCUCUGCUCCUCUGUCUCUUGUGUUUAGGGUCCACAGGAUGAAGGGUGACGCUGGUCUUCCAGGGAAAGCAGCUGACAUGAAGAACAUUGAAGUCAUGUUUGAAGACUAUGGCAUAAGGCUGCCCUUGCUGAAGGCACUGAUUGACAGGCUGCUGCAGGGCGGCAUGGAGGAGCUUCUGCAGAGCUAACCACCUCUAGGAGAAUCAAUGAGAAGGAGAACCACGGCUCCAACAUUAUCACUGAACACAGUAUGUACACAGUCCAUGCAUAUCUCUUCAACCCUAAUCACACCGAGGACAUACCUGGUCAUUUAGUGGGUUAUUCCUGGGAGAAGUUCAAUGAGGAAAAUUGGAAUUGGAAUGUCAAUUCUCUUUCUGAAUUGACUGAAUUGAAAUGUAAUUUACCAUAACCCUGGUGACAAGCCUGGUAUCAGAACUCUUAGUUAGUGUUGGACUCAUGAGUGUGUUAGUGUUGGACUCAUGAGUGUGUUAGUGUUGGACUCAUGAGUGUGUUAGUGUUGGACUCAUGAGUGUGUCAGUGUUGGACUCAUGAGUGUGUUAGUGUUGGACUCAUGAGUGUGUUAGUGUUGGACUCAUGAGUGUGUCCGUGUUGGACUCAUGAGUGUGUUAGUGUUGGACUCAUGAGUGUGUUAGUGUUGGACUCAUGAGUGUGUCCGUGCUGGACUCAUGAGUGUGUCCGUGCUGGACUCAUGAGUGUGUGUUUUGAACAGAGAACUGUAAAGUAUGAGAUCUCCAAGGAGCCUCUGACAGAGAUGGACACCAUAGAGGAGGCAGUUGACUCUGACGUAGACAGACAGCUACCAGAACCUAACUCUGAUGCUUUGAAUGAAACGGCGGAGGGCCCCACAUUCUGGAGCCUCACCCCUCUUAAUGGUCUUAAUGGGGUMCAAGACGUGGGGAGGAUAGAGAGCACCUCUAAGGGGAUAGAGGGGACACUGACAAUGGACGAGGACUUCAGUGAAGCUCCCUCGCCCAAGUUGACUUUAUCAAACUCAACAUUUAACAACACUAUGUCUGAAGAGAGGGUCUCUGAGGUACCAGGGGCAAUAGUAGAAACUGUUCUCCUCAGUACGGAAGACUCCUUGAAGAAAAAGAAGAGUCGAGAACGGAAGGUGAUGUCACAACAAAUAGAUCCUUUUUUUAUACAUCUGAUAAACACAACCUUGUUGGAUUCAAAUACAUUUCAAAAUUUGAGAAAAGUGUGUAAUUUGGACAUAAAUUAUGCAAUUAAAUGUAAGUUGUUCACAACCUAUUU